ACUUGAUGUGCUCCUUCUCUGGACAGAGUUCAUGGUGAGAAACCAAAACCUUCAUCAGACCAGGAUGCCUCAGCAGUGAAUCCCCGACAGGAGCAUCAACAUAUCUCCUACCUUCCUGCUUUCGUGCCACAGAGGGAAGCUGUCUUGCCUACUGCCUUCACCCUGUGUUCAAGAUUUAACUCUGGCUUUAAAUCCACAGUUUUUCUCAUUCCCUACUUGUCACUGAGUGGAUACCCAGUAUAUUUCCCAGCCUCAAGGACGAUACCUCAGCCAUCUGGACCAUUGCAUUAAAUCUCAGAUCUGCCCUGCUGUUGAGAUGCAGCUGUGGGCUGUAUUUCUACUUCAAAGGGAAGGUUUUAUUUAUUUUUGUGUGUGUGAGAAUGAAAGGAGCUGGGGUUAACUGGGUUGGGGAAGAGAGCUGUGAUCAAGAGGUGGCCACUGUGGACUCAGAAGAUAUUUCCAGACCUGGGUGCUGGGGCUCUGUGCAGGGCACUAGUGCUGAUUGACUUGAGUGUGGGUCUGAGAAGACCCGGGGCCCUUAAUUCUAUAGUUGGGUCUAAUCUCUGGGUGCUCACAGUUCUGUCUCCAGAUCCACGCUGUACACCCUCAGUCUCCCACGAAGGGAUUCUGCUGUCAGGCGGUCGCUUCUGAAGAAAGAGGCAGGGAAGGUUACAGUGUCCUUUAUCCUCUCUUGAGAAACUGAAUUAUAGGGACUUGAGAUCGAUGUCUGUGGUGAGAGAGAGAAUGAGGUGCUGUGAGUAAGCUGCAUAGAGGCUGGAGAGGUGAAAAUGCAGGCAUUGUCCUUGAAAUUGACAUUGCUAUAUACAGAAGCGUGGGGUAGUCGAAGUCAGUCAGGAAUUCUAGCUUCCUACCUGGGUUUUGAUGGAGUAUAGAAAGCUGUAGCUGGGUACUGCCGGCCUUCUCAGACCUCUGGUUACCAGUUGCCUCAGACCUCUUGUCCGCUGUCCAGGACUUCCCUAGCUUGGGGGUGUAGAGAUGAGUGGAGAAGCCAGGGUAUCAUUGGCUGUCCUUUUUUAUAUGCAUUUUGCUAAAAGGGUUGAUUUGGAGG